rnacentral:rRNA from 1 species
GGUUAAGUUAGAAAGGGCGCACGGUGGAUGCCUUGACACUAGGAGUCGAUGAAGGACGGGACUAACGCCGAUAUGCUUCGGGGAGCUGUAAGUAAGCUUUGAUCCGAAGAUUUCCGAAUGGGGAAACCCACCAUACGUAAUGGUAUGGUAUCCUUAUCUGAAUACAUAGGGUAAGGAAGACAGACCCAGGGAACUGAAACAUCUAAGUACCUGGAGGAAGAGAAAGCAAAUGCGAUUUCCUGAGUAGCGGCGAGCGAAACGGAACAUAGCCCAAACCAAGAGGCUUGCCUCUUGGGGUUGUAGGACAUUCUAUACGGAGUUACAAAGGAACGAGGUAGACGAAGCGACCUGGAAAGGUCCGUCGUAGAGGGUAACAACCCCGUAGUCGAAACUUCGUUCUCUCUUGAAUGUAUCCUGAGUACGGCGGAACACGUGAAAUUCCGUCGGAAUCUGGGAGGACCAUCUCCCAAGGCUAAAUACUCCCUAGUGAUCGAUAGUGAACCAGUACCGUGAGGGAAAGGUGAAAAGCACCCCGGAAGGGGAGUGAAAGAGAUCCUGAAACCGUGUGCCUACAAAUAGUCAGAGCCCGUUAACGGGUGAUGGCGUGCCUUUUGUAGAAUGAACCGGCGAGUUACGAUCCCGUGCGAGGUUAAGCUGAAGAGGCGGAGCCGCAGCGAAAGCGAGUCUGAAUAGGGCGUUUAGUACGUGGUCGUAGACCCGAAACCAGGUGAUCUACCCAUGUCCAGGGUGAAGUUCAGGUAACACUGAAUGGAGGCCCGAACCCACGCACGUUGAAAAGUGCGGGGAUGAGGUGUGGGUAGCGGAGAAAUUCCAAUCGAACCUGGAGAUAGCUGGUUCUCCCCGAAAUAGCUUUAGGGCUAGCCUUAAGUGUAAGAGUCUUGGAGGUAGAGCACUGAUUGGACUAGGGGUCCUCAUCGGAUUACCGAAUUCAGUCAAACUCCGAAUGCCAAUGACUUAUCCUUAGGAGUCAGACUGCGAGUGAUAAGAUCCGUAGUCAAAAGGGAAACAGCCCAGACCGCCAGCUAAGGUCCCAAAGUGUGUAUUAAGUGGAAAAGGAUGUGGAGUUGCUUAGACAACUAGGAUGUUGGCUUAGAAGCAGCCACCAUUUAAAGAGUGCGUAAUAGCUCACUAGUCGAGUGACUCUGCGCCGAAAAUGUACCGGGGCUAAAUACACCACCGAAGCUGCGGAUUGAUACCGAAUGGUAUCAGUGGUAGGGGAGCGUUCUAAGGACAGUGAAGUCAGACCGGAAGGACUGGUGGAGUGCUUAGAAGUGAGAAUGCCGGUAUGAGUAGCGAAAGACGGGUGAGAAUCCCGUCCACCGAAUGCCUAAGGUUUCCUGAGGAAGGCUCGUCCGCUCAGGGUUAGUCAGGACCUAAGCCGAGGCCGACAGGCGUAGGCGAUGGACAACAGGUUGAUAUUCCUGUACCACCUCUUUAUCGUUUGAGCAAUGGAGGGACGCAGAAGGAUAGAAGAAGCGUGCGAUUGGUUGUGCACGUCCAAGCAGUUAGGCUGAUAAGUAGGCAAAUCCGCUUAUCGUAAAGGCUGAGCUGUGAUGGGGAAGCUCCUUAUGGAGCGAAGUCUUUGAUUCCCCGCUGCCAAGAAAAGCUUCUAGCGAGAUAAAAGGUGCCUGUACCGCAAACCGACACAGGUAGGCGAGGAGAGAAUCCUAAGGUGUGCGAGAGAACUCUGGUUAAGGAACUCGGCAAAAUGACCCCGUAACUUCGGGAGAAGGGGUGCUUUCUUAACGGAAAGCCGCAGUGAAUAGGCCCAAGCGACUGUUUAGCAAAAACACAGCUCUCUGCGAAGCCGUAAGGCGAAGUAUAGGGGGUGACACCUGCCCGGUGCUGGAAGGUUAAGGAGAGGGGUUAGCGUAAGCGAAGCUCUGAACUGAAGCCCCAGUAAACGGCGGCCGUAACUAUAACGGUCCUAAGGUAGCGAAAUUCCUUGUCGGGUAAGUUCCGACCCGCACGAAAGGUGUAACGAUUUGGGCACUGUCUCAACCAGAGACUCGGUGAAAUUAUAGUACCUGUGAAGAUGCAGGUUACCCGCGACAGGACGGAAAGACCCCGUGGAGCUUUACUGUAGCCUGAUAUUGAAUUUUGGUACAGUUUGUACAGGAUAGGCGGGAGCCUUUGAAACCGGAGCGCUAGCUUCGGUGGAGGCGCUGGUGGGAUACCGCCCUGACUGUAUUGAAAUUCUAACCUACGGGUCUUAUCGACCCGGGAGACAGUGUCAGGUGGGCAGUUUGACUGGGGCGGUCGCCUCCUAAAAUGUAACGGAGGCGCCCAAAGGUUCCCUCAGAAUGGUUGGAAAUCAUUCGUAGAGUGCAAAGGCAUAAGGGAGCUUGACUGCGAGACCUACAAGUCGAGCAGGGACGAAAGUCGGGCUUAGUGAUCCGGUGGUUCCGCAUGGAAGGGCCAUCGCUCAACGGAUAAAAGCUACCCCGGGGAUAACAGGCUUAUCUCCCCCAAGAGUCCACAUCGACGGGGAGGUUUGGCACCUCGAUGUCGGCUCAUCGCAUCCUGGGGCUGUAGUCGGUCCCAAGGGUUGGGCUGUUCGCCCAUUAAAGCGGUACGCGAGCUGGGUUCAGAACGUCGUGAGACAGUUCGGUCCCUAUCCGUCGUGGGCGUAGGAAAUUUGAGAGGAGCUGUCCUUAGUACGAGAGGACCGGGAUGGACGCACCGCUGGUGUACCAGUUGUUCUGCCAAGGGCAUAGCUGGGUAGCUAUGUGCGGAAGGGAUAAGUGCUGAAAGCAUCUAAGCAUGAAGCCCCCCUCAAGAUGAGAUUUCCCAUAGCGUAAGCUAGUAAGAUCCCUGAAAGAUGAUCAGGUUGAUAGGUUCGAGGUGGAAGCAUGGUGACAUGUGGAGCUGACGAAUACUAAUAGAUCGAGGACUUAACCAU